AAGGGCCCUCGUUGUAACAUAAUACAACGCGUAAACUAAUGCAACUUUGUCAGGAUGUACGCUCAUCCAUGCGUGAACCAACAAACGCAGUCUAUAUAAAGAUGUACGAAUUUUUGUGAAAAUCAAUCGUUUUUGUUAUUUUCAGUUCAUAAACAGGAUAUAAAGGUUUAACAAUGAAGUGCGCUGUAGCUAUCGUUCUCGCGCUCAUCGGCAUGUCUCUCGCUCACCCAACUCCUUCUGGUUUGGGUGGAUUAGUGAAGGGAAGCGUGAAGAGAAUACGGCUGAGGCGGUUUGCUCAGCGCUCGUAGAGGCUUAGAGUACGAAUCUAACGUGUGUGGUCAUCAAUGCGCUAUUUGAAGGUUGAAUUUCUUCCACAGCCUAUCUCCCCUGGUGUUGUCAUCCGCCGUAGAACAUAGGUCCAGCGUUAUCAACCACGGAGUGUCCAUUCCUAUCAUAAAACCCGUCAUUCUGACAUCUAUUAAGCCCAUCAUAGAACCCGUCAUAAAAUACCCCAUCCUACCUCUCAUUAAGCCACUUUGGGGCGGAUUGGGAUACGGCUUUCACUAAAAUGUAACUAAGAUUGCAACUCUUGGACUUAGGCUGUUUUGUAAUAUUAAAUUACUAAUAAAAUGUUUACGAUUAAA